UAAGAAUUUAAAAGUCGAACAGACUUAUUUUUAAGAGGGCUGCUUCUUAAAAUUUCCUUAAUUCAACAUCGAGGUCGCAAAAUAUAAUAUAGAUAUGAACUCCCCAUUAAAAUUACGCUGUUAUCCCUAAGGUAACUUAAUCUUAUUAUCCAUUUUUAGGGAUCUAAAAUAACAUACAUAAAUGAGUCACAAAACUAAAGUUAUUUAUUUAGUCACCACCCCAGCCAAAUAUAACAUAAUAUUAAAAAAUAUUAUAUUUUAAAACUUAGUAAUAAAAGAUUAUAUAAAGUUCUAUAGGGUCUUAUCGUCCCAAUAAACUAUCAAAGCAUUUUAACUUUAAAUUUAAAUUUUAAUAUUUAAAAAAAUAAAAUAUAAUUCUCAUUCAUCCAUUCAUACAAGCUUCCAAUUAAAAAACUAUUUACUAUGCUACCUUUGCACAGUCAAAAUACUGCAGCCAUUUAGAAAUUUUAAACCAUAGGGCAGAAGAUACUUUUUAUACAAACA
rnacentral:rRNA from 1 species